GAUGAGCGCUGGCGGCGUGCCUAAUACAUGCAAGUCGAGCGAACGGACGAGAAGCUUGCUUCUCUGAUGUUAGCGGCGGACGGGUGAGUAACACGUGGAUAACCUACCUACAAGACUGGGAUAACUUCGGGAAACCGGAGCUAAUACCGGAUGAUAUUUUGAACCGCAUGGUUCAAAAGUGAAAGACGGUCUUGCUGUCACUUAUAGAUGGAUCCGCGCUGCAUUAGCUAGUUGGUAAGGUAACGGCUUACCAAGGCAACGAUGCAUAGCCGACCUGAGAGGGUGAUCGGCCACACUGGAACUGAGACACGGUCCAGACUCCUACGGGAGGCAGCAGUAGGGAAUCUUCCACAAUGGGCGAAAGCCUGACGGAGCAACGCCGCGUGAGUGAUGAAGGUCUUCGGAUCGUAAAACUCUGUUAUUAGGGAAGAACAUAUGUGUAAGUAACUGUGCACAUCUUGACGGUACCUAAUCAGAAAGCCACGGCUAACUACGUG
rnacentral:rRNA from 1 species